rnacentral:rRNA from 1 species
AUUGAACGCUGGCGGCAUGCCUAACACAUGCAAGUCGAACGGUAGCAGGCCUUCGGGCGCUGACGAGUGGCGGACGGGUGAGUAAUACAUAGGAAUCUGCCUUUUAGUGGGGGAUAACCCGGAGAAAUCCGGGCUAAUACCGCAUACGCACUACGGUGGAAAGCAGGGGAUCGUAAGACCUUGCGCUAAUAGAUGAGCCUAUGUCGGAUUAGCUUGUUGGUAGGGUAAGGCCUACCAAGGCGACGAUCCGUAGCUGGUCUGAGAGGACGACCAGCCACACUGGGACUGAGACACGGCCCAGACUCCUACGGGAGGCAGCAGUGGGGAAUAUUGGACAAUGGGGGCAACCCUGAUCCAGCAAUGCCGCGUGUGUGAAGAAGGCC